GAUGAACGCUGGCGGCGUGCCUAAUACAUGCAAGUCGAGCGAGUGGAUUAAGAGCUUGCUCUUAUGAAGUUAGCGGCGGACGGGUGAGUAACACGUGGGUAACCUGCCCAUAAGACUGGGAUAACUCCGGGAAACCGGGGCUAAUACCGGAUAAUAUUUCGAACUGCAUGGUUCAAAAUUGAAAGGCGGCUUCGGCUGUCACUUAUGGAUGGACCCGCGUCGCAUUAGCUAGUUGGUGAGGUAACGGCUUACCAAGGCAACGAUGCGUAGCCGACCUGAGAGGGUGAGCGGCCACACUGGGACUGAGACACGGCCCAGACUCCUACAGGAGGCAGCAGUAGGGAAGCUUCCGCAAUGGACGAAAGUCUGACGGAGCAACGCCGCGUGAGGGAUGAAGGCUUUCGGGUCGUAAAACUCUGUUGUUAGGGAAGAACAAGUGCUAGUUGAAUAAGCUGGCGCCUUGACGGUACCUAACCAGAAAGCCACGGCUAACUACGUGCCAGCCGCCGCAGUAA
rnacentral:rRNA from 1 species